rnacentral:rRNA from 1 species
CCUACGGGAGGCAGCAGUAGGGAAUCUUCCACAAUGGGCGAAAGCCUGAUGGAGCAACGCCGCGUGGGUGAAGAAGGUCUUCGGAUCGUAAAACCCUGUUGCUAGAGAAGAAAGUGCGUGAGAGUAACUGUUCACAUUUCGACGGUAUCUAACCAGAAAGCCACGGCUAACUACGUGCCAGCAGCCGCGGUAAUACGUAGGUGGCAAGCGUUAUCCGGAGUUAUUGGGCGUAAAGGGAACGCAGGCGGGCUUUUUAGUCUGAUGUGAAAGCCUUCGGCUUAAACGGAGUAGUUCAUUUGAAAUUG